rnacentral:lncRNA from 10 species
GCUGAAGAUCACUGUGCUUAUUAGAUGGGUGUUACUGAUUCUUACCUCAGAGAAGAGAAUGUCAUGGAGACAAAAUGACCUGCUUAGAGUUCUGCACCCCCCAGCAUGGAGAGCAGAGCGCAAAGAUUUCUUCCGGACUCCCACAUUCCCCUUGGAAUCCAAGAACUGGUCUACUGUCACAACACUUUAGUACCCUCUUGUAAGCCUGUGGACAAAUCCUCUGAUGCCUUGAUACCUCGGUUUUCCCCCACUAUAAAU